rnacentral:rRNA from 1 species
CCUACGGGAGGCAGCAGUGAGGAAUAUUGGUCAAUGGCCGGAAGGCUGAACCAGCCAAGCCGCGUGAAGGACGAAGGUGCCAAGCAUUGUAAACUUCUUUUGUCAAGGGACAAAAUCAGCCUCGAGAGCCGGACCGAGAGUACUCGAAGAAAAAGCAUCGGCUAACUCCGUGCCAGCAGCCGCGGUAAUACGGAGGAUGCGAGCGUUAUCCGGAUUUAUUGGGUUUAAAGGGUGCGUAGGCGGACUGUUAAGUCAGCGGUAAAAUCCCGGGGCUCAACCCCGGCGAGCCGUUGAAACUGGUUGUCUUGAGAGGUCGAGAAGUAUGCGGAAUGCGCAGUGUAGCGGUGAAAUGCUUAGAUAUUGCGCAGAACUCCGAUUGCGAAGGCAGCAUACCGGCGGCGAUCUGACGCUGAGGCACGAAAGCGUGGGUAUCGAACAGGAUUAGAUACCCGUGUAGUC